rnacentral:rRNA from 1 species
UACGUAGGGGGCUAGCGUUGUCCGGAAUCAUUGGGCGUAAAGAGCGCGUAGGCGGCCCGGUAAGUCCGCUGUAAAAGUCCAGGGCUCAACCCUGGAAAGCCGGUGGAUACUGUCGGGCUCGAGUCCGGAAGAGGCGAGUGGAAUUCCUGGUGUAGCGGUGGAAAUGCGCAGAUAUCAGGAGGAACACCAAUGGCGAAGGCAGCUCGCUGGGA